rnacentral:rRNA from 1 species
AUUGAACGCUGGCGGCAGGCCUAACACAUGCAAGUCGAACGAGUGGCGGACGGUUGAGUAAUGUCUGGGAAACUGCCCGAUGGAGGGGGCUAACUACUGGAAACGGUAGCUAAUACCGCAUACUAUCGGAUGUGCCCAGAUGGGCUUAGCUAGUAGGUGGGGUAACGGAUCACCUAGGCCACGAUCCCUCGCUGGUCUGAGAGGAUGACCCGCCACAUUGGAACGGAGACACGGGCCAGACUCCGACGGUAGGCAGCCGUGGGGAAUAUUGCACAGUGGGCGCAAGCCUGAUGCAGCAAGGACGCGUGUAUGAAGAAGGCCGUCGGGUUGGAAAGUACUGUCAGCGAGGAUGCGUUACUCGCAGAAGAAGCACCGGCUAACUCCGUGCCAGCAGCGGCGGUAAUUC